rnacentral:tRNA from 1 species
GGAGACGUGGGUGAGAGGCCGAAACCGCUUCCCUGCUAAGGAAGUAGUCGCGAUGUGCGGCUCGAGGGUUCGAAUCCCUCCGUCUCCG